AUUGAACGCUGGCGGCAGGCCUAACACAUGCAAGUCGAGCGCGAAAGUUCUUCGGAAUGAGUAAAGCGGCGGACGGGUGAGUAAUACAUGGGAAUCUGCCUGGUAGUGGGGGACAACGUUUCGAAAGGAACGCUAAUACCGCAUACGCCCUACGGGGGAAGGGGGGGAUCGCAAGACCUCUCGCUAUCAGAUGAGCCCAU
rnacentral:rRNA from 1 species